UGAGCGGAGGGGGCAUAUACAGUGGGGAGGGCUCUAUCGACAACUGUUUGAGGAACCCUCUUGAAGCCACUCAAGACCAACUUGCCAACCCCAGGCACAAUCAUCCAGGGUUUUUGGGAUCUUUCAAACGCAGGAGGCAGGGAAGCGCUGGGCCUGGCUGGUCAGGCGCCAGCCCGCGGAGACCGAAGCCUUCGGGUACCUCGAGCGAGGCAAGCCGGGCAGGGGACUCGGGGAGAGAAGGCUGCAGGCCCCACACUCACGGCGGCCGCUCCCCUUCAGAGUCCGACCACGCUUGGAGGCCCUGCACCACCACGUUCCCGGGACCCUUCCCCACCUUUCCCAGCGGAUGACACUCGGAGGUUCCGGAAACGUCACAUCCGGCGCCCGCUCCGCCCACUCCCGCUCGUCUGUCUAUUACAUUCCCAAUGAUUUAGGACUUGGAAUGGAGAGCUAGUAGGUGGGGCUAGAAUCGGCACCUGCGGAAAAUCCGACCAAUGAGGAGCGAACGACACAGCGGCCAUCUUGGUAAAGGAAAAGGAACAAGGAAGAAGGUGGAACUAAUGACCAAGCUAAGACAGGGUCUUUCAGUGCCACCCAGGCUGGCACAGGAGUGCAGUGGCGUGAUCAUAGCCCACUGUGGUCUCCAACUUAUGGACUCAAGCGAUCUUCCUGCCUCCGCCUCCCAAAGUACCGGGAUUACUGGCGUGUACCACCGCACCCAGAUGAGACUAACGUUUUAAUGUCAAAAAACCUAUAAAAUAUUCGGAAAAAAAAGAGUUUAAUCUCUAAGAGCCAUUGUGCAAAAGCAGUGAAGACCCAAAGAUCUGUAUGACACUGUUCCUGCCCUGAGACCGGGACAAGGUGGUUUUAUGCAUCAAAUACAGAAUGGCACGUUCUGCACGUA